rnacentral:rRNA from 1 species
CACGUAGGGCGCAAGCGUUGUCCGGAAUCAUUGGGCGUAAAGAGCUCGUAGGCGGUGUGUCGCGUCGGCCGUGAAAACCUGCAGCUUAACUGUGGGCUUGCGGUGGAUACGGGCAUCACUGGAGUUCGGCAGGGGAGACUGGAAUUCCUGGUGUAGCGGUGAAAUGCGCAGAUAUCAGGAGGAACACCGGUGGCGAAGGCGGGUCUCUGGGCCGAUACUGACGCUGAGGAGCGAAAGCGUGGGGAGCGAACAGG